GAUGAACGCUGACAGAAUGCUUAACACAUGCAAGUCGAUGGGGAAGUGGUGCUUGCCCCAUGGCAACCAUGGCGGACGGGUGAGUAACGCGUAAGGGACUUACCUGCAGGACUGGGAUAACAGGGGGAAACUCCUGACAAGACCGGAUAAUGUCAUGGAGCUGCAUGGCUUUAUGAUGAAAGGAGACGCCUGCGGAGAGCCUUGCGUCCUAUUAGCUAGUUGGUGAGGUAAUGGCUCACCAAGGCGAAGAUAGGUAGCCGGCCUGAGAGGGUGGACGGCCACAAGGGGACUGAGAUACGGCCCUUACUACUACGGGAGGCAGCAGUGGGGAAUAUUGGACAAUGGGGGCAACCCUGAUCCAGCAAUUCUGUGUGCACGAAGAAGGUUUUCGGAUUGUAAAGUGCUUUCAGCAGGGAAGAAGUAAGUGACGGUACCUGCAGAAGAAGCGACGGCUAAAUACGUG
rnacentral:rRNA from 1 species